rnacentral:rRNA from 1 species
GAUGAACGCUAGCGGCAGGCCUAAUACAUGCAAGUCGAGGGGCAGCAGUACUUUUCGGAGUAGCUGGCGACCGGCGCACGGGUGCGUAACGCGUAUGCAAUCUACCCACAGCAGAGGGAUAGCCCGUGGAAACAUGGAUUAAUACCUCAUAACACAGGGAGCCCACCUGGGCAUAUUGUUAAAGCUACGGCGGCAGUGGAUGAGCAUGCGUCCCAUUAGUUAGUUGGUACGGUAACGGCGUACCAAGACGAUGAUGGGUAGGGGUUCUGAGAGGAUGAUCCCCCACACUGGUACUGAGAUACGGACCAGACUCCUACGGGAGGCAGCAGUAGGGAAUUUUCCGCAAUGGGCGAAAGCCUGACGGAGCAAUACCGCGUGAGGGAUGACGGCCUAUGGGUUGUAAUUUUUGGAGGAAUCAAUGACGUGUACCUGAAGAAUAAGCAUCGGCUAACUCCGUGCCAGCAGCGCGGUAA